rnacentral:rRNA from 14 species
GUGGGUAGUUUGACUGGGGCGGUCUCCUCCUAAAGAGUAACGGAGGAGCACGAAGGUUGGCUAAUCCUGGUCGGACAUCAGGAGGUUAGUGCAAUGGCAUAAGCCAGCUUGACUGCGAGCGUGACGGCGCGAGCAGGUGCGAAAGCAGGUCAUAGUGAUCCGGUGGUUCUGAAUGGAAGGGCCAUCGCUCAACGGAUAAAAGGUACUCCGGGGAUAACAGGCUGAUACCGCCCAAGAGUUCAUAUCGACGGCGGUGUUUGGCACCUCGAUGUCGGCUCAUCACAUCCUGGGGCUGAAGUAGGUCCCAAGGGUAUGGCUGUUCGCCAUUUAAAGUGGUACGCGAGCUGGGUUUAGAACGUCGUGAGACAGUUCGGUCCCUAUCUGCCGUGGGCGCUGGAGAACUGAGGGGGGCUGCUCCUAGUACGAGAGGACCGGAGUGGACGCAUCACUGGUGUUCGGGUUGUCAUGCCAAUGGCACUGCCCGGUAGCUAAAUGCGGAAGAGAUAAGUGCUGAAAGCAUCUAAGCACGAAACUUGCCCCGAGAUGAGUUCUCCCUGAGACUUAAAGUCUCCUGAAGGAACGUUGAAGACGACGACGUUGAUAGGCCGGGUGUGUAAGCGCAGCGAUGCGUUGAGCUAACCGGUACUAAUGAACCGUGAGGCUUAACCUUACAACGCCGAAG